rnacentral:rRNA from 1 species
GCGAGUGAAGAGGGAAGAGCUCAAAUUUGAAAUCUGGCGGUCUCAGGCCGUCCGAGUUGUAAUCUAGAGAGGUGUUUUCCGUGCCGGACCGUGUACAAGUCCCUUGGAACAGGGCGUCAUAGAGGGUGAGAAUCCCGUCCAUGACACGGACUCCCGGUGCUCUGUGAUACGCCUUCGAAGAGUCGAGUUGUUUGGGAAUGCAGCUCAAAACGGGUGGUAAAUUCCAUCUAAAGCUAAAUACAGGCGAGAGACCGAUAGCGAACAAGUACCGUGAGGGAAAGAUGAAAAGAACUUUGGAAAGAGAGUUAAACAGUACGUGAAAUUGUUGAAAGGGAAACGCUUGAAGUCAGUCGCGUCUGCCAGGACUCAGCCUUGCUUCUGCUCGGUGCACUUCCUGGUGGAUGGGCCAGCAUCGAUUUUGGCCGCCGGAAAAGGGCGGGAGGAAUGUGGCAGCUUGCUGUGUUAUAGCCUCCCGUCGUACACGGUGGUUGGGAUCGAGGAAUGCAGCACGCCUUUUGGUCGGGGUUCGCCCACGCCACGUGCUUAGGAUGCUGGCGUAAUGGCUUUAAACGACCCGUCUUGAAACACGGACCAAGGAGUCUAACAUGCCUGCGAGUGUUUGGGUGUCAAACCCAGGCGCGUAAUGAAAGUGAAAAGUUGGGACUCUUUAGUGAGGCACCGACGCCCGAUCCUGACGUUUUCUGACGGAUUUGAGGCAGAGCAUGUAUGUUGGGACCCGAAAGAUGGUGAACUAUGCCUGAAUAGGGUGAAGCCAGAGGAAACUCUGG